rnacentral:rRNA from 1 species
CAGCCGCCGCGGUAAUACAGAGGGUGCGAGCGUUAAUCGGAAUUACUGGGCGUAAAGCGCGCGUAGGUGGUUUGUUAAGUUGGAUGUGAAAUCCCCGGGCUCAACCUGGGAACUGCAUCCAAAACUGGCAAGCUAGAGUAUGGUAGAGGGUGGUGGAAUUUCCUGUGUAGCGGUGAAAUGCGUAGAUAUAGGAAGGAACACCAGUGGCGAAGGCGACCACCUGGACUGAUACUGACACUGAGGUGCGAAAGCGUGGGGAGCAAACAGGAUUAGAUACCCGCGUAGUCCCUGUCUCUUAUAC